rnacentral:rRNA from 1 species
ACGGGAGGCAGCAGUGAGGAAUAUUGGUCAAUGGACGGAAGUCUGAACCAGCCAAGUCGCGUGAAGGAAGAAGGUUCUAUGGAUUGUAAACUUCUUUUGUUCGAGGGUAAAGUGAGAGAUGUGUCUCUUAUUGCAAGUAUCGGACGAAUAAGCAUCGGCUAACUCCGUGCCAGCAGCCGCGGUAAUACGGAGGAUGCGAGCGUUAUCCGGAUUUAUUGGGUUUAAAGGGUGCGUAGGCGGAUGAUUAAGUCAGUGGUGAAAGCGUGCGGCUCAACCGCACCGAGCCAUUGAAACUGGUUAUCUUGAGUGUAACGAGGUAGGCGGAAUGUGACAUGUAGCGGUGAAAUGCAUAGAGAUGUCACAGAGCCCCGAUUGCGAAGGCAGCUUACCAGCAUACGACUGACGCUGAUGCACGAAAGCGUGGGUAUCAAACAGGAUUAGAUACCCUGGUA